CUAAAUUGAAACAUAAACCCAAAACCCAAAUAGAAUGAAACAAAAUAAAUAGCAUAGUAUAUAUUGGUGAAAAUAUAAAUAUCUAUGAUUUCAUGGAAGAGGUUAAUAUUGACCCCAACCAUACCUCCUCACCUUCUAAAUAAUAAACCAUAAACCCUAAACUCUAAUCACUAAACCUUAAUCCAAAUAUGAACUCUAAACCCAAAUAUCAAAAUCUAAACCUUAACCAGUGUUAACCCCAAUUUUUCAUA
rnacentral:lncRNA from 1 species